AUUCAAAUUCCCAGAGAUCAGUCUUUUCAGGUACUCCACCUGAAACGUGAAACCGUAUCAAAAACCCCCAAAUCUCCAAUUCCCUCAUUCAUCUUUGGAAUCCCUAGACUUAUGAUUGUUUUGGAGGCUGCGAGCAGUUGCAUUUUUCUCACUUGAUUUGGCGCUUGAUCCACAGACCGAGGUUCUUGUUGCCAGAAACCCUAAUUCAUCAGCGGUUUCACAGCAGCAAAAGGUUGCACACUAUAAGCAAGCUGGCGUUGGCCCAAAGGCACCAGGAGAUCUACUCUGAACUUGGUGGAGUGAUGGACUAUGAGGAAAAUCAAAGCCAGCUGAAUAGGAGGCAGCAUCAAAUUUCUCGUACAGUCAGAGUGACAUUCAGGAGGCAGCAUCUAUUUGCUCCUCCUGAAAAAUAUGAGCACGAGCAAAUGGCACAACCAUGGGGAUUGAAAUUCCAUUUACUUCUCUGAAAGUUAUGGCAUUCAACAAAGAAUGUCAGUAUUUUAAUUUUUAGCAACAUUUUCUGAUUCCUAUAUACCAUUAAAUAUAUAUAUAUAUAUAUAUAUAUAUAUAUUUAAUGGUUUGACUCUGCAGUAUUGGAUGGGUGACUGAAUUAUGUUAUAAUUUUUAAUGAGAUUGUUAGAAGUUGUUACGCACAGUGUUCUGCAUUUGCCGCAUGCAGUUUGCCUGCACUCAGUAUCACAGCACCUGUUUGGAUUGGUUUCGUGGUUACUUGAUUUGCUUGAUAUAUGGAAUUUUGAGGAUGAUCUUGUCAUUGAAA